AUUCUCCAUCACAGUUUCAAUGGGGAAAAAAGGCGGGAAGCAUGCGGUGGGAGCACAUAGCGAUUUUUCAUAAAGUUCACAAGCAGAGGGUGCAAUUGUUGAAGUUGGCUUGAAGAAACUGACUUCAACAGAAGCGUAAAAUCGGGCAGAUGUCGAAGAAUCCCCAAGCUAUUCUUCGACAAUCGAAGAAUAUACUGAUCUUAAUUUCGGAUGAGGAAAAACCUCAAAUUAAAUCAAAGGACGAUGAAGAGCCUUACAUGGGGAAGGAAAAGCUGAAACGGGUUCUGUGGUCUCUUUCCCAUCAAUUUUUGGAUGUGGUAUCCCCUUCCGACGACCCGCCGCUCCACGUCUUGAAUGAGAAGUUGAAUCCAAUUUUCUCUCCACAGUCGAAGAAGAUAGAGUGUAUUCAGCCAAUUGACACGUCAAAAGCGAGGGCACUUUAGGGAAUUAACCUCCAUUUCUGGAUCCAGAACUCGAUGUAGAUUAAAAAUCUCAUGUUUUUUGGAAGAUUUGAAAUCUGGUCCAAAACGUGUGAACAGUGAGGGCCUGUCCUUUUUUCUCGGGCCAUCAAGAUUUUAAAUGGCAGAAGGCAAACACUAGGAUAUGCACAAAUUUGGAGUGGAAUCUGGGCAUAACGGACAAGGAGAACACGCCCUAAAUUUACUCUUUUUUGCUUUGCUUCUACUUUAGUUUAUUAAUUAUACUCCUACUAUUUCUCUAUUAAUACUAAUUACUCCAUUUUUUUAUUGUUUAAAUGAAAAUUGUAACGACCGUAGGCCGUAGUGGUUGAAAAGAAAUAAAUUAGGCUGAAUGCAAAGUUUCUUUGUAUGAUUAUUUACGAAUUUUAGAU